AACCAUGUGACAAAAGAUUCUAAACCAGGGGUGGGCAAACUAUGGCCCGGGGGCUGCAUCUAGCCCUUUAGAUGUUUUAAUCCGGCCUUGAGCUCCCACUGGGGAGCAGGAUCCAGUUUGCCCUGUGCCAGCUCUCCAGCUGGGGAGUGGGGUUGG